CCAAUAGCGUAUAUUAAAGUUGUUGCAGUUAAAAAGCUCGUAGUUGAAUUUCGGGAUCAGUUGGUCGGUCGUGCCUCGGUACGUACUGGUCAAAUUGAUUCCUACCUUCUGACGAACCACGAUGUCAUUAAUUUGGUGUCGCGGGAAAUCAGGACUGUUACUUUGAAAAAAUUAGAGUGUUUAAAGCAGGCUCGCGCUUGAAUACAUUAGCAUGGAAUAAUGAAAUAGGACGUUUGAUUCUAUUUUGUUGGUUUCUAGGAUCGACGUAAUGAUUAAUAGGGAUAGUUGGGGGCAUUAGUAUUCAAUUGUCAGAGGUGAAAUUCUUGGAUUUAUUGAAGACUAACUACUGCGAAAGCAUUUGCCAAGGAUGUUUUCAUUAAUCAAGAACGAAAGUUAGGGGAUCGAAGACGAUCAGAUACCGUCGUAGUCUUAACCAUAAACUAUGCCGACUAGGGAUCGGAUGAUGUUAAUUUUUUAAUGACUCAUUCGGCGCCUUACG
rnacentral:sRNA from 2 species